GAUGAACGCUAGCGGGAGGCCUAAUACAUGCAAGUCGAACGGUAAGGUCCUUCGGGAUACACGAGUGGCGGACGGGUGCGUAACGCGUACGGAAUAUACCUUCAACAGGGAGAUACCUCCGGGAAACUGGAAUUAAUACCCCAUAGUAUUAUAGAUUCGCAUGAAUUUAUGAUUAAAGCUCAGGCGGUUGAAGAUUAUCGUGCGUCUGAAUUAGGUAGUUGGUAGGGUAAUGGCCCUACCAAAGCCAACGAUCAGUAGCUGGUCUGAGAGGAUGAUCAGCCACACUGGAACUGAGACACGGUCCAGACUCCUACGGGAGGCAGCGAGUAGGGAAUAUUGGGGCAAUGGAGGCAACUCUGACCCAGCCAUCCGCGUGCAGGAAUAAGGCCCUAU
rnacentral:rRNA from 1 species